rnacentral:tRNA from 19 species
GCUUCCAUAGCUCAGUUGGUUAGAGCGUCGUACUAAUAAUGCGAAGGUCUCAGGUUCAAGCCCUGGUGGGAGCA